GAACUGAAGAGUUUGAUCCUGGCUCAGAUUGAACGCUGGCGGCAUGCCUUACACAUGCAAGUCGAACGGCAGCGGGGGUAGCUUGCUACCUGCCGGCGAGUGGCGAACGGGUGAGUAAUACAUCGGAACGUGCCCUGUAGUGGGGGAUAACUAGUCGAAAGACUAGCUAAUACCGCAUACGACCUGAGGGUGAAAGUGGGGGACCGCAAGGCCUCAUGCUAUAGGAGCGGCCGAUGUCUGAUUAGCUAGUUGGUGGGGUAAAAGCCCACCAAGGCGACGAUCAGUAGCUGGUCUGAGAGGACGAUCAGCCACACUGGGACUGAGACACGGCCCAGACUCC
rnacentral:rRNA from 1 species